AGAUCAAUAUCAAGAAAUUAGCAACGGUGGUGCUUUGUAUCUGUAUAUUACAGAUCCGCAGAGAGUGGUGAAAGAAAUUGAUAGCUUGGUGAAAAAAGGUCACGGGGUCAAGAUUUGAAAUCUCAUUUAAGUAUUGAAGCAGGUGAAAGCCAUAAAAGUGAUUCACAAGAGGAAGGUCCAUUUGGUAAAUCUUCCAGGAUUGCUGAAUCUCAGCGUCGAGCAUCCAUUGAAUCUGGAUUGUACGUUGUCAAGCUUUGACAGUGGGUCUGAAUUGGAUACACUGGGAGAGAUUGGAAGCAGAGGUGAUCAUAUUCAGCAGAACCACUCAACUAUGCAUCAUCAUUCGGUUUCAAAUAUAUAUGAAGAGCCUCAUAUAUCAGAAUCCGAGUGGUCAGGAAGCUCUGAUCAGGGGAUCAGUACUGAUGACUCCAUGAAUAGUUCAAAUGAUACAAUCCCGAGAGAUAUCUCAAGGACUUCCUCGAAUGAAGAUGUAGAUAGAGUUUAGGGUAAAAGAUUUAGAAAUAUAGGGUUUAAGGAUACAAAACCCCCCCUAUAUCCUCAGGGAGUUGCUGUUUUUGGACCUUAAAUCCUGCAUCCUCAGGGAGUUGGAUUUGGAAGACCAUCUGUAAUUUCAGACCUCUGGCAAGGCCUUUUGUUAUAUGCGAGAUUCGUUCUGGUACAUCUUGUAGCUUCUGGAAUGAUAAUUGGACGGGCUUGGGUUCUCUUUUGGAGUUAACAGAGGGCACAGGUCCUAGCAGAACAGGUCUGACUAGGGGGGCGGUAGUCGCUGAUGCAUUAAGAGAUGGCCAUUGGUGGAUUUCUAACUCUCGUAGUAGGAACCCUACCAUCCGGCUUUUAAAAGAUUGUCUACCUUCCCCCUCGGUUGUAAAUGUUCAACAUGAUGCAGAAGAUGACUAUUAUCUAUGGAAGAUUGGGGUUAGUCAGCCUUCUACUGUUUUUUCGACCUCAAGAACAU